rnacentral:rRNA from 1 species
GAAUAGCCCGGAGAAAUCCGGAUUAAUGCCCCAUAGCAUUUUCGAAUUGCAUGAUUUGAAAAUUAAAGGUUACGGUAAGAGAUGGGCAUGCGUCCCAUUAGCUAGAUGGUAAGGUAACGGCUUACCAUGGCAACGAUGGGUAGGGGGCCUGAGAGGGUGAUCCCCCACACUGGUACUGAGACACGGACCAGACUCCUACGGGAGGCAGCAGUGAGGAAUAUUGGACGAUGGACGAAAGUCUGAUCCAGCCAUGCCGCGUGCAGGAAGACUGCCCUAUGGGUUGUAAACUGCUUUUAUUUGGGAAUAAACCCCUCUACGUGUAGAGGGCUGAAGGUACCAAACGAAUAAGCACCGGCUAACUCCGUGCCAGCAGCCGCGGUAAUACGGAGGGUGCAAGCGUUAUCCGGAAUCAUUGGGUUUAAAGGGUCCGCAGGCGGACAUAUAAGUCAGUGGUGAAAGCCUACAGCUUAACUGUAGAACUGCCAUUGAUACUGUAUGUCUUGAAUUCGGUCGAAGUGGGCGGAAUGUGUCAUGUAGCGGUGAAAUGCAUAGAUAUGACACAGAACACCGAUAGCGAAGGCAGCUCACUAGGCCUGAAUUGACGCUCAGGGACGAAAGCGUGGGGAGCGAACAGGAUUAGAUACCCUGGUAGUCCACGCCGUAAACGAUCAUUACUCGAUAUUGGCGAUAUACAGUCAGUGUCUAAGCGAAAGUGAUAAGUAAUGCACCUGGGGGAGUACGAUCGCAAGGUUGAAACUCAAAGGAAUUGACGGGGGCCCGCACAAGCGGUGGAGCAUGUGGUUUAAUUCGAUGAUACGCGAGGAACCUUACCAGGGCUUAAAUGUAGAAAGGAAUGAUGUGGAAACAUGUCAGCCUUCGGGCCUUCUACAAGGUGCUGCAUGGCUGUCGUCAACUCCUGGCCCUGAAGGGGUUGGGGUUAAAUCCCCCCAACCAAGGGCAACCCCUAUCUUUAAGUUGCCACCCAAGAAAUUUCCGGGGACUCUAAAAAAACUGCCUUCCCCAGUAAAAAGAAAAAGCGGGGGACAAAUUCAAUGUAUUCCGGGCCUUUAUUCUCUGGGCGCACACUUUGCUUAUAUGUGGGAAUAAAAGGGGGGCUACCCCCCCAGGGGAUGGGAUUCUCAAAAUGCCUCCCCUUUCCCGGAUAGGAGGUCGGACCCCCACCCCUCAGAACUGAAACCCGAGAAUACCGCCUCCCCCAAGGGGCGGGGGAAAAUGUCCCCGCUUUUGUCACCCCCCCCCCCCCCCCCAAAAAAAGGGGGGUCGUGAUGGUGUCCCCAAAAAGAGCUUCCCGGAAAAAUAAUAAAUGGGGGGGUUUUAAAAAAGGCCGGGGGGAUACCCAAACACGG